rnacentral:rRNA from 1 species
UACGGAGGGUGCAAGCGUUAUCCGGAUUCACUGGGUUUAAAGGGUGCGUAGGCGGGCAGGUAAGUCCGUGGUGAAAUCUCUGAGCUUAACUCAGAAACUGCCAUGGAUACUAUUUGUCUUGAAUAUUGUGGAGGCAAGCGGAAUAUGUCAUGUAGCGGUGAAAUGCUUAGAUAUGACAUAGAACACCCCAUUGCGAAGGCAGCUUGCUACACAAUGAUUGACGCUGAGGCACGAAAAGCGUGGGGGAUCAAAACAGG